UACAGAGGUCCCAAGCGUUGUUCGGAUUUACUGGGCGUAAAGGGUGCGUAGGUGGCGGGGUAAGUCUGGUGUGAAAGCUCCGAGCUCAACUCGGAAAAGCAUUGGAAACUAUCCCGCUUGAGGGUCGGAGGGGAGACUGGAAUUCUCGGUGUAGCAGUGAAAUGCGUAGAUAUCGAGAGGAACACCAGUGGCGAAGGCGAGUCUCUGGACGACUCCUGACACUGAGGCACGGAAAGCUAGGGGAGCAAACAGG
rnacentral:rRNA from 1 species